ACUUGGCUGCAGCACUGGGUGAUAACAAGGGAAUACCACCAUGGGAACAGCUAAAUGACUUGAUUUUGGAACUCGAGUACUAUUCUGAGGGUUUAUCUGAUCGACCAUCCUUAGUGGUGGCUAACAAAGUUGACGAAGACGGGGCUGAAGAGGUAUAUAAAGAACUCAAACGCCGUGUAUCUGGUGUGCCCGUUUUCCCAGUUAGUGCAAUCUUAGAGGAAGGAGUACCAGAACUGAAAGAUGGUUUGAGGAUGCUUAUCAGCGGUGAACAAACACACAGGCUACAAUUAGAUGGUAUAGUUCUUCACCAAGAUGCUGGUCAUGUGAGUAUCUAGUCUUGUAUCUUUUCCCUUGUAGUGAAAUAUUAUUUUGACUCAGGCAUAAAGUUGCGUAGUUUUGUUUAGCACAUUACAAAGUGAACGAUCUCUUAUG
rnacentral:misc_RNA from 1 species